AGAUACGGGUCAAGUUCUUUUGGAAAAUUGUACCAUGGAGGGUGAAAGUCCCGUUCAUGCCUGUAAUCUUUUCGUAUACAGUACAUCUUCUAAGAGUCGAGUUGUUUGGGACUGCAGCUCUAAGUGGGUGGUAAAUUCCAUCUAAAGCUAAAUAUUGGUGGGAGACCGAUAGCGAACAAGUACCGUGAGGGAAAGAUGAAAAGCACUUUGAAAAGAGAGUGAAAAGAACCUGAAAUUGCUGAAAUGACAACCGUAGGGAAGUAGUGUUUAAAUAUUCACUUUGUGUUUAUUUUUAGUUCCGCUUGUUUUUUAUUGAAA
rnacentral:rRNA from 14 species